rnacentral:rRNA from 1 species
CGCGGUGGUCCCACCUGACCCCAUGCCGAACUCAGAAGUGAAACGCCGUAGCGCCGAUGGUAGUGUAGGGUCUCCCCAUGCGAGAGUAGGGAACUGCCAGACA